CCUACGGGUGGCAGCAGUGGGGAAUUUUGGACAAUGGGCGAAAGCCUGAUCCAGCCAUGCCGCGUGAGUGAAGAAGGCCUUCGGGUUGUAAAGCUCUUUCAGCUGGGAAGAAAUCGCGCAGAAUAAUACUCUGCGUGGAUGACGGUACCAGCAUAAGAAGCACCGGCUAACUACGUGCCAGCAGCCGCGGUAAUACGUAGGGUGCGAGCGUUAAUCGGAAUUAUUGGGCGUAAAGCGUGCGCAGGCGGUUGUGCAAGACAGAUGUGAAAUCCCCGGGCUUAACCUGGGAACUGCAUUUGUGACUGCAUAACUAGAGUACGACAGAGGGGGGUAGAAUUCCACGUGUAGCAGUGAAAUGCGUAGAGAUGUGGAGGAAUACCGAUGGCGAAGGCAGCCCCCUGGGUCGAUACUGACGCUCAUGUACGAAAGCGUGGGAAGCAAACAGGAUUAGAUACCCUAGUAGUC
rnacentral:rRNA from 1 species